CAUACAAAAUGGCGCAUAUCCGGUUCAUAUUUUGGGUCAAUGCGCGGACCCCCUUUGCUGGCAGACGACACCGUUUCUUCAAUAAGUUUUUUAGAACCCCUUUUUUUACCCUUUUUUCCUUCCCUAAAUGCAGCCGUUCCUUCACCCUAAUAUGCAGUCCCCAAAAUCAAAAUGUUGAGUUCAUAUUUGCAGCCAUUGAACCACCAUUUUAUUUGGUAGCCGAUGACGCAUGAACAAUAUCCAGAUCUUACCAUCGAAGGCUCCACUCGGGGAAAAUCUGGCACUAUGCAACGCGUGGAAAAGGCGACGUUCAGGGGUGUGGUGACCGAGGUAGCACGCGCGGUGGUUGGCAUGUGUGGGGUGAGCGGCGGCUGAAGAGAGAGGCUAGGGUUGCUGAAACAAUUUGGGUAGUUGGGCUAGGGUUAGUUUUAGGCCUAUUGGAUUUAUUUUGGGCUAAAAUCUGGGUAUUGGGUUUUAAUUAUGUUUUGUUUUAAUUUUGGGCCAUGUAUUGGACUAUUUUUGGUUUGGGUUCUUUUUAGGCCAAUAUUGGCUAUUACAGUUGCCCUUCUUUGCUCAUUCUCGUGUAAUGAGAAUGGAGCAAAGACCUUGAAAUAGCCAAUUUUGCCUAGUCUAACUGGAUCUUGGCUUCUUGGUGCUUCUUUUCUUCUAAUAGUCUUGCUCCAUCCCACUGCAUCUUUAGGGGUAUUGGAAUUAAUUCUAUGGUUUGCUCCAAUGUAAUUUCAAGGAGAUGGUAAUGGCUUUAAUCUGCUCUAUUGCAACUUCAGAGAGAUAAGAUUCGCUAAUUCGAUCAGCUCCACUGCAACUCCAAGGGGGCCAGAUGUGUAAUUUUCAGCCUAUUACCCUACUGCUUAAGGCUUGGUGGCUCGAAUCUGCUUCACUGCUACUUCAAGAAAGCGAGAUUCGUCGUCUACGAUCUGUUCCACUUACUGCUUAGGGGGUUAAAGCUCGUAAAUUUAGCUUGUUACCCUACUACUUAGAGGGUUAAAGCCCAUCAUCUUCGAUCUGUUUCCCUAUUGCUUAGGGGGUUAAGAUCUGUAAAUUAGCCUGUUACCCUACUGCUUAAGGGGUUAAGGCCCUUUGUCUUCGAUCUGCUUCCCUACUGCUUAGGGAGAUAAGAUCUGUAAUUCAACCUGUUACCCUACUGCUUAAGGAUUUAAGGUUCUUCGUCUUCGAUAUGCUCCACUACUGCUUAGGGAGAUAAGAUCUGCAAUUCAACUUGUUACCCUACUGCUUAGGGAGUUUAAGGUUCUUCGUUUUUGAUCUGCUUCACUACUGCUUAGGGAGAUAAGAUCUGCAAUUCAACUUGUUACCCUACUGCUUAGGGGGUUAAGGCUCGUCAUCUUCGAUCUGUUUUCCUACUACUUAGGGGGGGUUAGGAUCUAUAAAUACGGCUUGUUACCCUACUGCUUAGAGGGUUAAAGCCCGUCAUCUUUGAUUUGCUCCACUACUGCUUAGGGAGACAAAAUCACUGUCCUCGAUCUGUUCCACUGCAACUUCAGGGAGAUAAGAUCUGCAAUCUCCAAACCUACUCCACUCUUGCUAGGGAGAUAGGAUGGUGGCUUAGAUCUGUUCCACUCUUGGUUAGGGAGGCGAGAUUCGCCGUCUUCGAUCAUUCCACUUGUAACCCGGGAGACAAGAUCUGCGAUCUUGACUUGUUACCCUACUUGCUAGGGGUUAAAGCUUGUGAACUUACUAAUUUUAGGGAUAUGACCUGUAGAAUCAGUACCAUGUAUCUAGACUUAUGUUAAAUGAUUAGGAUGUUAUGGUCGAAUCAAAUGCUCCUAACUAGAUGUGAUGAAUGUGUCAAAUAAUUAGGAUGGUAUGAUUGAAAUGAAUCAAAUGCUCUUACUUAAA